AGCGGCGGAUGGGUGAGUAACACGUGGGGAACCUGCCCCUAAGUCUGGGAUACCAUUUGGAAACAGGUGCUAAUACCGGAUAAUAAAGCAGAUCGCAUGAUCAGCUUUUGAAAGGCGGCGUAAGCUGUCGCUAAGGGAUGGCCCCGCGGUGCAUUAGCUAGUUGGUAAGGUAACGGCUUACCAAGGCGACGAUGCAUAGCCGAGUUGAGAGACUGAUCGGCCACAUUGGGACUGAGACACGGCCCAAACUCCUACGGGAGGCAGCUGUAGGGAAUCUUCCACAAUGGACGAAAGUCUGAUGGAGCAACGCCGCGUGAGUGAAGAAGGGUUUCGGCUCGUAAAGCUCUGUUGGUAGUGAAGAAAGAUAGAGGUAGUAACUGGCCUUUAUUUGACGGUAAUUACUUUGAAAGUCACGGCUAACUACGUGCCAGCAGCCGCGGUAAUACGUAGGUGGCAAGCGUUGUCCGGAUUUAUUGGGCGUAAAGCGAGUGCAGGCGGUUCAAUAAGUCUGAUGUGAAAGCCUUCGGCUCAACCGGAGAAUUGCAUCAGAAACUGUUGAACUUGAGUGCAGAAGAGGAGAGUGGAACUCCAUGUGUAGCGGUGGAAUGCGUAGAUAUAUGGAAGAACACCAGUGGCGAAGGCGGCUCUCUGGUCUGCAACUGACGCUGAGGCUCGAAAGCAUGGGUAGCGAACAGGAUUAGAUACCCUGGUAGUCCAUGCCGUAAACGAUGAGUGCUAAGUGU
rnacentral:rRNA from 1 species